AUUGAACGCUGGCGGCGUGCCUAAUACAUGCAAGUAGAACGCAGUUGCGAACGGGUGAGUAACGCGUAGGUAACUGCCUCAUAGCGGGGGCUAACUAUUGGAAACGCUAGCUAAUACCGCAUACUGUGAGAUGGACCUGCGUUGUAUUAGCUAGUUGGUGAGGUAAAGGCUCACCAAGGCGACGAUCAAUAGCCGACCUGAGAGGGUGCUCGGCCAACCUGGUCAUGAGACACGGCCCCGACUCCUACGGGAGGCAGCAGUAGGGAAUCUUCGGCAAUGGACGGAAGUAUGACCGAGCAACGCCGCGUGAGUGAAGAAUGUUUUCGGAUCGUAAAGCUCUGUUGUUAGAGAAGGGGUAACGAACCAAAAAGGGACGGCUAACUACGAGCAAGCCGCCGCGGUAAUAC
rnacentral:rRNA from 1 species